CAAAAGUCUGUGCAGACAUAGGUGCUAUGGAUUAUUUGAAUAGUUUAGGCAUGCCUACAUCUAAUGCACCAGAGGUGGGUAAUUUUCUGCUCUAUUUUUUCCCAGGACAUGAGAUGAAACUAUCAGUGACGUUAUUUCUCCUCUCAAAAAUUCUCCUGAAAAAAGAAAUCUGAGGACUUAAGAAGCUCUACUUAGAGAUCAAAGAGGUGGACUACACUAAUAAGCAGGAGGAGAGGAGAUAGGAAAUGAAUAAUUAAGAUGGAUUUAUCAGAAACAAGGAGAUCAUAUUGAAAUGUAUUCCUGGAGCACCGGGGCUUCACUGACCUCUCUGCUGUGGCUGGAGUCAAUGGUGAUUUCGCAUCACAGCACACCAAGGUUUUUAACCUCAACUGAGACCUCAAGACCAUCCUGCAGUUGUCAUGUUCCUGGUCAGUCUCUACUUUAGGAGGUAAGAAGCUGUCAGGGGCUAUGGGAUGUCACAUCUGAUGUCUCCAGCUAGAUUUCAAGAUUUUUAGUGCAAAGAUCGCCUUGUGUAUUUUUCACUGUUAGUGUCUACUGGAGUGACUUACAUUGAGGGUAUUCAGUAGGGAUUUUCUGAUGACAGUUAUUCUGAUGACCUUCCUUCCUAUUUGGUGUCUACUGGAGUGACUUACAUUGAGGGUAUUCAGUAGGUAUUUUCUGAUGACAGAUAUUCUGAUGACCUUCCUUCCUAUUUGGUUUGAUCGAUCAAACCCUUUGCAAGAUCAAACCCUUUGCAAGAAGACUUUUAUUUGCAAUUUAUCAGGCAUUUAAUACAGAUAAUGUCUUCAUUAUAUAUGUCAGUAUGUUGAAAGAAUUACCAAAAUAUUUAUAUAUUAAGGGAUAGAUAUUAACUGAGGCUGAAUAUUUUCUAGGAUUUAAUAUUGGUAAUAAUUUAUAAAGAGAACCUUAGUGCAUUACUUGUCUAACUUUAUCCCUUUCUUUCCUUUUAGCUGUACUCAUUCUCAGUCUAGCACUGGAACUGAUCCUGAUGUUUUUCCUACUAAAACUGAAAGGGAUCUGAUGGUUCGUGGCCCAGUUUGGUUUAAUAUUUUCCUUAUUGGUUUUGGUUUUCUAGGUAAAGAAAUGACUACCUUUGACCUUAAACUUAACUUUGAAAAUGCAGAGCAUUUGAGGAUUUGAGAAUGUGGCCAACACAAGCUAAAUGCGCCAGGGCUUCUUAUAGAGCUGAAAGUGAGAAGGACAUGUGCGAUCAUUGCCCUGGCUUCUCCCUUUCCAAGUGACAGCCAUUCUUACCCUUUAUCUACAGGUUUUUAUUUGUUAGAAGAUUAGUCAAGUAUGAGACGAGACAAACAUGAGACUGGGUAGGAAUGAAGGAGACAGAAAGUGAAGCACCCCGUCGAGCUGACCUCUUGCUUUGUUUCCUGUUAUCUUGUUUGACUCCUGGCCAAAAACUUUUAUCCUGAAGUUAGUGAGUAAAUCAUAACAGACAGGAUUAGACAUUUCAAACUAGUGCCAAUCCACCUAGAUGCAGCUUUAGUCAUAGAUUCAUACAUAACAGCUUAUAAGAGAUUAAUUUUACAUGCCAAGAUCUCUGUACAUGAAAAUAUUAAUGCCAGAGGCUCUAGGAUGGUUUCAACAAAAAACGAUAAGUGUGCAAAAUAUAAUGAAUGUAUUGCUUUGAAUAAACUCAUAUACUUUGAGUUAUCA
ensembl:lncRNA